GCGGGCGUGGCGGAAUUGGCAGACGCAGCGGACUUAAAAUCCGCGUCCUUCGGGAAUUGUGGGUUCGACUCCCACCGCCCGCACCA
rnacentral:tRNA from 1 species